GUGUGCUUAGCUCCCCAGGCGUCGAGCGGCGGACGGGUGAGUAAUGCAUAGGAAUCUGCCCGGUAGUGGGGGAUAACCUGGGGAAACUCAGGCUAAUACCGCAUACGUCCUACGGGAGAAAGCAGGGGAUCUUCGGACCUUGCGCUAUCGGAUGAGCCUAUGUCGGAUUAGCUAGUUGGUGAGGUAACGGCUCACCAAGGCCGCGAUCCGUAGCUGGUCUGAGAGGAUGAUCAGCCACAUCGGGACUGAGACACGGCCCGAACUCCUACGGGAGGCAGCAGUGGGGAAUAUUGGACAAUGGGCGAAAGCCUGAUCCAGCCAUGCCGCGUGUGUGAAGAAGGCCCUCGGGUUGUAAAGCACUUUCAGUGAGGAAGAAGGCUUGUGGGUUAAUACCCCGCAAGAAGGACAUCACUCACAGAAGAAGCACCGGCUAACUCCGUGCCAGCAGCCGCGGUAAUACGGAGGGUGCGAGCGUUAAUCGGAAUUACUGGGCGUAAAGCGCGCGUAGGCGGCUUGAUAAGCCGGUUGUGAAAGCCCCGGGCUCAACCUGGGAACGGCAUCCGGAACUGUCAGGCUAGAGUGCAGGAGAGGAAGGUAGAAUUCCCGGUGUAGCGGUGAAAUGCGUAGAGAUCGGGAGGAAUACCAGUGGCGAAGGCGGCCUUCUGGACUGACACUGACGCUGAGGUGCGAAAGCGUGGGUAGCAAACAGGAUUAGAUACCCUGGUAGUCCACGCCGUAACGAUGUCGACUAGCCGUUGGGGUCCUCGAGACCUUUGGUGGCGCAGUUAACGCGAUAAGUCGACCGCCUGGGGGA
rnacentral:rRNA from 1 species